rnacentral:rRNA from 1 species
GAUGAACGCUGGCGGCGUGCCUAAUACAUGCAAGUCGAGCGAACAGACGAGGAGCUUGCUCUUCUGACGUUAGCGGCGGACGGGUGAGUAACACGUGGAUAACCUACCUAUAAGACUGGGAUAACUUCGGGAAACCGGAGCUAAUACCGGAUAAUAUAUUGAACCGCAUGGUUCAAUAGUGAAAGACGGUUUUGCUGUCACUUAUAGAUGGAUCCGCGCCGCAUUAGCUAGUUGGUAGGGUAACGGCUUACCAAGGCAACGAUGCGUAGCCGACCUGAGAGGGGGAAGGGCCACACUGGAACUGAGACACGGCCAAGACACCGAGGGGAGGAAGAAGUGGGGAAUAUUGGAAAAUGGGGGAAAGCCUGAAGAAGCAAGGCAGGGUGGAUGAAGAAGGUCUUCGGGUGGUAAAACUGUUUUAGGGGGGAAGAAAAAAUGAGAGAAAAAAUAUGCGCGUAUUGACGGUACCAAAUAAAGAAGCACCGGCUAACUACGUG